rnacentral:rRNA from 1 species
UAGGGAAUCUUGGACAAUGGGCGAAGGCCUGAUCCAGCCGUGCCGCGUGAGUGAUGAAGGCCUUAGGGUUGUAAAGCUCUUUCGCCAGGGAAGAUAAUGACGGUACCUGGAUAAGAAGCCCCGGCUAACUUCGUGCCAGCAGCCGCGGUAAUACGAAGGGGGCUAGCGUUGUUCGGAAUUACUGGGCGUAAAGCGCACGUAGGCGGCUUUCCAAGUUGGAGGUGAAAUCCCCGGGCUUAACCCGGGAACUGCCUCCAAAACUGAAAGGCUAGAGUCCGAGAGAGGUGAGUGGAAUUUCCAGUGUAGAGGUGAAAUUCGUAGAUAUUGGAAAGAACACCAGUGGCGAAGGCGGCUCACUGGCUCGGUACUGACGCUGAGGUGCGACAGCGUGGGGAGCAAACA